rnacentral:rRNA from 1 species
GACGAACGCUGGCGGCGUGCUUAACACAUGCAAGUCGAACGGAAAGGCCCUGCUUUUGUGGGGUGCUCGAGUGGCGAACGGGUGAGUAACACGUGAGUAACCUGCCCUUGACUUUGGGAUAACUUCAGGAAACUGGGGCUAAUACCGGAUAGGAGCUCCUGCUGCAUGGUGGGGGUUGGAAAGUUUCGGCGGUUGGGGAUGGACUCGCGGCUUAUCAGCUUGUUGGUGGGGUAGUGGCUUACCAAGGCUUUGACGGGUAGCCGGCCUGAGAGGGUGACCGGCCACAUUGGGACUGAGAUACGGCCCAGACUCUAACGGGAGGCAGCAGUGGGGAAUAUUGCACAAUGGGCGGAAGCCUGAUGCAGCAACGCCGCGUGCGGGAUGACGGCCUUCGGGUUGUAGGCCGCUUUCGCCUGUGACGAAGCGUGAGUGACGGUAAUGGGUAGAGAAGCACCGGCUAACUAAGUG